rnacentral:rRNA from 1 species
CAGGCGGGAAGCUAAGUUGGAUGUGAAAUACCGGGGCUCAACUCCGGAGCUGCAUCCAAAACUGGUUUUCUUGAGUGGAGUAGAGGCAAGCGGAAUUCCGAGUGUAGCGGUGAAAUGCGUAGAUAUUCGGAGGAACACCAGUGGCGAAGGCGGCUUGCUGGGCUCUAACUGACGCUGAGGCCCGAAAGCGUGGGGAGCAAACAGGAUUAGAUACCCUGGUAGUCCACGCCGUAAACGAUGAUUACUAGGUGUGGGGGGUCUGACCCCUUCCGUGCCGCAGUUAACGCAAUAAGUAAUCCACCUGGGGAGUACGGCCGCAAGGCUGAAACUCAAAGGAAUUGACGGGGGCCCGCACAAGCAGUGGAUUAUGUGGUUUAAUUCGAAGCAACGCGAAGAACCUUACCAGGUCUUGACAUCUCCUGCAUAACCUAGAGAUAGGUGAAGUCCUUCGGGACAGGAUGACAGGUGGUGCAUGGUUGUCGUCAGCUCGUGUCGUGAGAUGUUGGGUUAAGUCCCGCAACGAGCGCAACCCUUGCCAUUAGUUGCUACGCGAGAGCACUCUAAUGGGACCGCUACCGACAAGGUGGAGGAAGGUGGGGAUGACGUCAAAUCAUCAUGCCCCUUAUGACCUGGGCUACACACGUAAUACAAUGGCCAUCAACAGAGGGUCGCAAUACCGCGAGGUGGAGCCAAUCCCUAAAAAUGGUCUCAGUUCGGAUCGCAGGCUGCAACCCGCCUGCGUGAAGCUGGAAUUGCUAGUAAUCGCG